UUAAUCAGGUCAGUUAUAUAGGUACCUGUAUCAUUAAUCAGGUCAGUUAUAUAGGUACCUGUAUCAUUAAUCAGGUCAGUUAUAUAGGUACCUGUAUCAUUAAUCAGGUCAGUUAUAUAGGUACCUGUAUCAUUAAUCAGGUCAGUUAUAUAGGUACCUGUAUCAUUAAUCAGGUCAGUUAUAUAGGUACCUGUAUCAUUAAUCAGGUCAGUUAUAUAGGUACCUGUAUCAUUAAUCAGGUCAGUUAUAUAGGUAAUCAGGUCAGUUAUAUAGGUACCUGUAUCAUUAAUCAGGUCAGUUAUAUAGGUACCUGUGUCAUUAAUCAGGUCAGUUAUAUAGGUACCUGUAUCAUUAAUCAGGUCAGUUAUAUAGGUACCUGUAUCAUUAAUCAGGUCAGUUAUAUAGGUACCUGUAUCAUUAAUCAGGUCAGUUAUAUAGGUACCUGUAUCAUUAAUCAGGUCA